CGUGUUCUCCCUCCGUUCAAUAAAGGAUGUUUCUACUUUGACUAAAUUUGAAUGCAUCUAUACACUAAGUCAUGUGUAGAUACAUCCAAAUUUUGAUAAACUUGAGACAUCUUUUGUUGGACGGAGGAGUAUCUU
rfam:Brachypodium distachyon strain Bd21 chromosome 1, whole genome shotgun sequence.